UACGAAGGGGGCUAGCGUUGCUCGGAAUCACUGGGCGUAAAGGGUGCGUAGGCGGGUCUUUUAAGUCAGGGGUGAAAUCCUGGGAGCUCAACUCCAGAACUGCCUUUGAUACUGAAGAUCUUGAGUUCGGGAGAGGUGAGUGGAACUGCGAGUGUAGAGGUGAAAUUCGUAGAUAUUCGCAAGAACACCAGUGGCGAAGGCGGCUCACUGGCCCGGUACUGACGCUGAGGUGCGAAAGCGUGGGGAGCAAACAGG
rnacentral:rRNA from 1 species